GAUGAAGAACGUAGCGAAAUGCGAUAAGUAAUGCGAAUUGCAGAAUUUCCGUGAGUCAUCGAAUCUUUGAACGCACAUUGCGCCCACUGGUAUUCCGGUGGGCAUGCCUGUUUGAGUAUCAUGAAAUUCUCAACCUUUCUGGCUUUUGCAAGCUAGUUUAGGCUUGGAUUAUGGAAGUUGCUGGCUUUUGAAGUCGGCUCUUCUGAAAUGCAUUAGCAAGAUUCAUUGCUGCUCAUCAUUGGUAUGAUAAUUAUCUAUACCAUUGAGAGUCGGUUUCCUUCAUUGGAGGAUUUUGCUUCUAACUGUCUUUACUUAAGACAUCAUUUGACCAUUUUGAUCUCAAAUCAGGUAGGACUACCCGCUGAACUUAAGCAUAUCAAUAAGCGGAGGA
rnacentral:misc_RNA from 1 species